UGUGCCAGCAGCCGCGGUAAUACGUAGGGUGCGAGCGUUGUCCGGAAUUACUGGGCGUAAAGAGCUCGUAGGUGGUUUGUCGGCGUUGUUCGCUGAAAACGUCACAGCUCUAACUGUGGCGCAGUGCGGGGCGAAUACGGGGCAAGAUCUAGAAGUACCUGUCAGGGGAGACCUGGAAAUUUCCCUGGUGUUAGCCGGGUCGGAAAUGGCGCCAGAAAUAUCAGGNUAGGAACACNCGGUGGCGAAGGCGGGUCUCUGGGCAGUAACUGACGCUGAGGAGCGAAAGCGUGGGGAGCGAACAGGAUUAGAUACCCUGGUAGUCCACGCCGUAAACGGUGGGUACUAGGUGUGGGUUCCUUCCUUGGGAUCCGUGCCGUAGCUAACGCAUUAAGUACCCCGCCUGGGGAGUACGGCCGCAAGGCUAAAACUCAAAGGAAUUGACGGGGGCCCGCACAAGCGGCGGAGCAUGUGGAUUAAUUCGAUGCAACGCGAAGAACCUUACCUGGGUUUGACAUGCACAGACGCCGGCAGAGAUGUCGU
rnacentral:rRNA from 1 species